UACGUAGGUGGCUAGCGUUGUCCGGAUUUACUGGGCGUAAAGAGCGCGUAGGCGGCCUGUUAAGUCGAACGUGAAAUCCCCGGGCUCAACCCGGGAACUGCGUCCGAUACUGGCAGGCUUGAAUCCGGGAGAGGGAUGCGGAAUUCCAGGUGUAGCGGUGAAAUGCGUAGAUAUCUGGAGGAACACCGGUGGCGAAGGCGGCAUCCUGGACCGGCAUUGACGCUGAGGCGCGAAAGCCAGGGGAGCAAACGGGG
rnacentral:rRNA from 1 species